rnacentral:tRNA from 1 species
GGAAAGAUGCCGGAGUGGUCGAUCGGGGCGGUCUCGAAAACCGUUGUGCCCUUGCGGGCACCCAGGGUUCGAAUCCCUGUCUUUCCGCAA